rnacentral:lncRNA from 1 species
UGACAGACAAGAAGAAAGUCUCAGUGGUGCCCAUGGAAAAGAAGAAGUAGAACUGCAAGAAGCAGCCAGAGAAAGAGAUGGUUUUCUUUUCAGAGAAAAGGAACAGAGCUUUCAUUCUUAUGCUUAGGAGAGCAGUACAUGGAACACAGAAAUACGAGGCUGACCAGAACAAAGGAAAAAGGUA